rnacentral:rRNA from 1 species
GACGAACGCUGGCGGCGUGACUAAUACAUGCAAGUCGAGCGGACAGAAGGGAGCUUGCUCCCGGAAGUUAGCGGCGGACGGGAGAGUAACACGUGGGCAACCUACCCUGUAGAUCGGGAUAACAUUGAGAAAUCGGUGCUAAUACCGGAUAAUCCUUUGAAGUGCAUGCUUCGAAUGUAAAAGAUGGCUCCGGCUAUCACUACGGGAUUGGCACGCGGCGCAUUAGCUCGUUGGUAAGGGAAUGGCUUACCAAGGCAACGAUGCGUAGCCGACCUGAGAGGGUGGCAGGCCACGCUGGGUCAGUGACACGGCCCAGACUGCUACGGAAGGCAGCAGUAGGUAGUCUUCCGCAAUGAACGAAAGUCAGACGGGGCAACGCCGCUUGAGUGAUGAAGGUUUUCGGAUCGUAAAGCUCUGUUGUUAGGGAAGAACAAGUGCCGUUUGAAUAAGGCGGCACCUUUACGUUACCUGACCAGAAAGCCACGGCUAACUGCGUGCCAGCCGCCGCCGUAACAC